rnacentral:lncRNA from 1 species
NNNNCCGUUCCCACGGCUCUCGGCCCCGCCCCCACUCGUCACAAUAUUAUUUUACACAUUAAUUUAAAUCUGUUUAAUAAACUGUUGCCUAUUCUUUUGUUGCAGAAGAGUCUUCAGUAUCAACACCUACUGAGCCUUUUGGUCACAUCAUUUUAAGGGAGAAGCUGUCUACAACAUAUCACCAAGAAAAUGACUGUAAUCUCAUUGGGCCCCCAGAUGAGAUCUCAACAAAUGGAUCUAAUUCACUGUAUUUUUCAUGUGCUGAAUCCUCUGCUACUUCAUUAACAACUGUUAUGGAAUCACAGGUCUCUGUAAUAUCAGAUCAUAGAGAAAGCUCAUUAGAAAAAUGUGAGUCUAAAGUGCAAGAGGGCAAUCAAUCCUUGUCACUUUCAACUUGCUCUGGAACUCAAGUCCAAGCUGAGCCAGAAAUGCCAUCCAACCUAGCCAGGUUUCCAUUGGACAAGCAUGCUGACAUUGUUCUGCAGUCUGUUCAGGAGAACCAUUCAUAUGCUGUGGACAAAUCCAUUGCAAUAAAUAGGACGGAAGAAAGACAGACAUUGCAAGAAGAGAAACCUGCUUUUGUGAGCAAUUCUGGAAUAAGUAGUGAACUUUUUAUUGACUCACUAUUCAUUAAACAUUUAGAAGAAGAGAUUCACAGUGUAGAGAAGAAAAGGGACUUAAUUGUACAGCACUGUGAAAGCAUUUUGUCCAUUGAUGAUAAACAAGAUGAAAUGCAUACAGGACAUUUGAAUUCCAAGCAGGCCCGGGCUGAUACUGAAGCCACUAGCAUGGAGGAAAUAACACCUGUAGUGUCCUCUGUUAGUGAAGUAGGUGCAUAUCCCCCAUUACAGUCAGCAGCUUCCUCGAAAGUCAUCUCUGAAGGAUCAGAGCAUUCAUACGCUUUAGCCCAGUUGCAGGAAGAUGCAACUAGCCCUACACAACUGACACCUCUGCUUGGUUCAUGUGGCAAGUGUAGUCCACUGGAUGUUAAAUCCAAAGAGGACCCGAGCAAUAAUUCAAAGACUUUGAGCCCACCCUCUACACCACCUGUAGGUGGACCUUCUUUGGAUGAGCUUCCCAGGUUUACUAGCCAAAGGCCUUCCAAUCUACCUUCUGCCACAGGAACGAGAACUCCCUUAACCAACUGGAAUCCAUCAUCUCCAGCCACUCAAAGGUAGUCUGCGAAGCAUGUCACAAACCAAACUGUAGUU